rnacentral:rRNA from 1 species
GAGUUUGAUUCCUGGCUCAAGACGAACGCUGGCGGCGUGCCUAAUACAUGCAAGUCGAGCGAGCUUGCCUAGAUGAUUUUAGUUGCUUGCACUAAAUGAAACUAGAUACAAGCGAGCGGCGGACGGGUGAGUAACACGUGGGUAACCUGCCCAAGAGACUGGGAUAACACCUGGAAACAGAUGCUAAUACCGGAUAACAACACUAGACGCAUGUCUAGAGUUUGAAAGAUGGUUCUGCUAUCACUCUUGGAUGGACCUGCGGUGCAUUAGCUAGUUGGUAAGGUAACGGCUUACCAAGGCAAUGAUGCAUAGCCGAGUUGAGAGACUGAUCGGCCACAUUGGGACUGAGACACGGCCCAAACUCCUACGGGAGGCAGCAGUAGGGAAUCUUCCACAAUGGACGAAAGUCUGAUGGAGCAACGCCGCGUGAGUGAAGAAGGGUUUCGGCUCGUAAAGCUCUGUUGGUAGUGAAGAAAGAUAGAGGUAGUAACUGGCCUUUAUUUGACGGUAAUUACUUAGAAAGUCACGGCUAACUACGUGCCAGCAGCCGCGGUAAUACGUAGGUGGCAAGCGUUGUCCGGAUUUAUUGGGCGUAAAGCGAGUGCAGGCGGUUCAAUAAGUCUGAUGUGAAAGCCUUCGGCUCCACCGGAGAAUUGCAUCAGAAACUGUUGAACUUGAGUGCAGAAGAGGAGAGUGGAA